rnacentral:rRNA from 1 species
ACAUGCAAGUCGAACGGUAGAGGGGGCAACCCCUUGAGAGUGGCGAACGGGUGAGUAAUAUAUCGGAACGUGCCCAGUCGUGGGGGAUAACGUAGCGAAAGUUACGCUAAUACCGCAUACGAUCUAAGGAUGAAAGCGGGGGACUCGCAAGAGCCUCGCGCGAUUGGAGCGGCCGAUAUCAGAUUAGGUAGUUGGUGGGGUAAAGGCUCACCAAGCCAACGAUCUGUAGCUGGUCUGAGGGACGACCAGCCACACUGGAACUGAGACACGGUCCAGACUCCUACGGGAGGCAGCAGUGGGGAAUUUUGGACAAUGGACGCAAGUCUGAUCCAGCCAUUCCGCGUGCAGGAUGAAGGCCCUCGGGUUGUAAACUGCUUUUGUACGGAACGAAAAGGUUUCUCUUAAUACGAGGAGCUCAUGACGGUACCGUAAGAAUAAGCACCGGCUAACUACGUGCCAGCAGCCGCGGUAAUACGUAGGGUGCAAGCGUUAAUGGAAUUACUGGGCGUAAAGCGUGCGCAGGCGGUUAUGUAAGACAGAUGUGAAAUCCCCGGGCUCAACCUGGGAACUGCAUUUGUGACUGCAUAGCUAGAGUACGGUAGAGGGGGAUGGAAUUCCGCGUGUAGCAGUGAAAUGCGUAGAUAUGCGGAGGAACACCGAUGGCGAAGGCAAUCCCCUGGAACUGUAUGACGCUCAUGCACGAAAG